rnacentral:rRNA from 1 species
UGAGCAACCUGCCCCUGACCCUAGAAUAACAGUUGGAAACAGCUGCUAAUACCGGAUACGACCUCUUCCGACAUCUGAAGAGGUGGAAAGCUCCGGCGGUCAAGGAUGGGCUCGCGGCCUAUCAGCUUGUUGGUGAGGUAACGGCUCACCAAGGCUUCGACGGGUAGCCGGCCUGAGAGGGCGACCGGCCACACGUGGGACUGAGACACGGCCCAGACCUCCGUACGGGAGCAGC